UGGCUGUCGUCAGCUCGUGCCGUGAGGUGUUGGGUUCAGUCCCGCAACGAGCGCAACCCUCGCCCUUUGUGCCAUCGGGUAAAGCCGGGCACUCUAAGGGGACUGCCAGCGACAAGUUGGAGGAAGGAGAGGAUGACGUCAAGUCAUCAUGGCCUUUAUGCCUAGGGCCACACACGUGCAACAAUGGCCGGUACAGACGGAGGCAAUGCCGAGAGGCGGAGCAAACCCGAGAAAACCGGUCCCAGUUCGGAUUGAGGUCUGCAACUCGACCUCAUGAAGUCGGAAUCGCUAGUAAUCGCAUAUCAGAACGAUGCGGUGAAUACGUUCCCGGGCCUUGUACACACCGCCCGUCACACCACGAAAGUUUGUUGUACCCGAAGUCGGUGCCUUAACCUCGCAAGAGGAGAGAGCCGCCCAAGGUAUGGCCGAUGAUUGGGGUGAAGUCGUAACAAGGUAGCCG
rnacentral:rRNA from 1 species